UAACACGUGGAUAAUCUGCCCUUAGGUGGAGGAUAAUCUCGGGAAACUGAGGAUAAUACUCCAUAGAUCUAGGAUGCUGGAAUGCAUCUAGAUUGAAAGCUCCGGCGCCUAAGGAUGAGUCUGCGGACUAUCAGGUUGUAGUCAGGGUAAAGACCUGACUAGCCUAUGACGGAUACGGGUUGUGAGAGCAAUAACCCGGAGACGAUAUCUGAGACACGAUAUCGGGCCCUACGGGGCGCAGCAGGCGCGAAAACUUCACACUGUGCGAAAGCGCGAUGAGGGAAUCCCAAGUGUUUGCUCGUAAGAGUAAACUGUUUCUUUGUUUAAAACGCAUAAAGAGUAAGGGCUGGGUAAGACGGGUGCCAGCCGCCGCGGUAAUACCUGCAGNUCAAGUGGUGAUCAUUAUUAUUGGGCCUAAAACGUCCGUAGCCGGUUUGGUAAAUGCCUGGGUAAAUCGUGUAGCUUAACUAUACGAAUUCCGGGUAGACUGCCAAACUUGAGACCGGGAGAGGCUAGGAGGUACUCCUGGGGUAGAGGUGAAAUCUGUAAUCCUAGGGGGACCACCAGUGGCGAAGGCGUCUAGCUAGAACGGGCCUGACGG
rnacentral:rRNA from 1 species